CCGAUUCUUAUUUUUAAUUAUAAAUAAAUUUAAGGGCCUUUGAGCUUAAUCUUGAAUAUGUAGUUGUUGCUCUGAACGAUAAUCUUGUUAUUGAGGUUGUGCUUGAUUGCUUGAAGUUGACCUUGAUUCGUUCUUCGUUCUUGCCAUAAAUUGUGUCACGAACAAGCAACCUUGAUCUUGAACGUCUUGUAUUUGACUUGACUUCGUUCUUGAUCUUGAAUACUUGAUUUCUUGAAGCUUCAGUCUUGUGGAAGAAUUUGCAUUGUUUGAUCCACGAGCUUUUUCUUGCUUCUUCU
rnacentral:lncRNA from 1 species